GAUGAACGCUGGCGGCGUGCUUAACACAUGCAAGUCGAACGAAGCACUUUGAAAGCUUGCUUUCGAAGUGACUGAGUGGCGGACGGGUGAGUAACGCGUGGAUAACCUGCCUCACACAGGGGGAUAACAGUUAGAAAUGACUGCUAAUACCGCAUAAGCCCACGGUACCGCAUGGUACAGAGGGAAAAGAUUUUAUCGGUGUGAGAUGGAUCCGCGUCGGAUUAGCUAGUUGGGGGGGUAACGGCCCACCAAGGCGACGAUCAGUAGCCGACCUGGGAGGGUGACCGGCCACAUUGGGACUGAGACACGGCCCAAACUCCUACGGGAGGCAGCAGUGGGGAAUAUUGCACAAUGGGCGCAAGCCUGAUGCAGCGACGCCGCGUGAGUGAAGAAGUAUUUCGGUAUGUAAAGCUCUAUCAGCAGGGAAGAUAAUGACAGUACCUGACUAAGAAGCUCCGGCUAAAUACGUGCCAGCAGCCGCAGUAAGAC
rnacentral:rRNA from 1 species